UGCAAAUGAUGUCUAUUCUCACGAUGGUCUUCCAAGCUUCAAUGAGGCUUUGACGAUAAUGCCAUAUGGCUUUGCUGAUGCAAUAAG